rnacentral:rRNA from 1 species
GUAGGGGGCAAGCGUUAUCCGGAUUUACUGGGUGUAAAGGGAGCGUAGACGGCUGCGCAAGUCAGAAGUGAAAGCUCGGGGCUCAACCGCGGGACUGCUUUUGAAACUGUGUAGCUAGAGUGCAGGAGAGGUAAGUGGAAUUCCUAGUGUAGCGGUGAAAUGCGUAGAUAUUAGGAGGAACACCGGUGGCGAAGGCGGCUUACUGGACUGUAACUGACGUUGAGGCUCGAAAGCGUGGGGAGCAAA